rnacentral:rRNA from 1 species
CUGAGGGUAGCGGAGAAAUUCCAAUCGAACUUGGAGAUAGCUGGUUCUCUCCGAAAUAGCUUUAGGGCUAGCCUCAAGUGAUGAUUAUUGGAGGUAGAGCACUGUUUGGACGAGGGGCCCCUCUCGGGUUACCGAAUUCAGACAAACUCCGAAUGCCAAAUAAUUUAACUUGGGAGUCAGAAUGUGGGUGAUAAGGUCCAUAUUCGAAAGGGAAACAGCCCAGACCACCAGCUAAGGUCCCAAAAUAUAUGUUAAGUGGAAAAGGAUGUGGCGUUGCCCAGACAACUAGGAUGUUGGCUUAGAAGCAGCCAUCAUUUAAAGAGUGCGUAAUAGCUCACUAGUCGAGUGACACUGCGCCGAAAAUGUACCGGGGCUAAACAUAUUACCGAAGCUGUGGAUUGUCCUUUGGACAAUGGUAGGAGAGCGUUCUAAGGGCGUUGAAGCAUGAUCGCAAGGACAUGUGGAGCGCUUAGAAGUGAGAAUGCCGGUGUGAGUAGCGAAAGACGGGUGAGAAUCCCGUCCACCGAUUGACUAAGGUUUCCAGAGGAAGGCUCGUCCGCUCUGGGUUAGUCGGGUCCUAAGCUGAGGCCGACAGGCGUAGGCGAUGGAUAACAGGUUGAUAUUCCUGUACCACCAUUAUUCGUUUUAAGCGAUGGGGGGACGCAGUAGGAUAGGCGAAGCGUGCUGUUGGAG